GCCCGCUUGGCUCAGUGGUAGAGCGUGUCACUAGUAACCCUGUCUCCUUCACAUGAAGGUUCUCGGUCACAUGACAAGGUCAUCAGUUCGAUUCUGAUAGUGGGCA